AAGAGGAGCCCGCAGCCGAUUAGCUAGUUGGUGAGGUAACGGCCCACCAAGGCAAAGAUCGGUAGCCGGCCUGAGAGGGCACACGGCCACACUGGCACUGAAACACGGGCCAGACUCCUACGGGAGGCAGCAGUGGGGAAUCUUGCGCAAUGGGCGAAAGCCUGACGCAGCAACGCCGCGUGAGGGAUGAAGGUCUUCGGGUUGUAAACCUCUUUCGAGCAGGGACGAUAGUGACGGUACCUGCAGAAGAAGCUCCGGCCAACUACGUACCAGCAGCCGCGGUGAUACGUAGGGAGCGAGCGUUGUCCGGAUUCAUUGGGCGUAAAGAGCUCGUAGGCGGCUCAGUAAGUCAGGUGUGAAACCCUCAGGCUCAACCUGAGGUCGCCAUCUGAUACUGCUGUGGCUAGAGCCCGGUAGGGGUACACGGAAUUCCUGGUGUAGCGGUGAAAUGCGCAGAUAUCAGGAGGAACACCGGUGGCGAAGGGGUGUACUGGGCCGGUUGCUGACGCUGAGGAGCGAAAGCGUGGGGAGCGAACAGGAUUAGAUACCCUGGUAGUCCACGCCGUAAACGUUGGGCACUAGGUGUGGGACCUUGUCAACGGGUUCCGUGCCGUAGCUAACGCAUUAAGUGCCCCGCCUGGGGAGUACGGCCGCAAGGCUAAA
rnacentral:rRNA from 1 species